CCUACGGGAGGCAGCAGUGAGGAAUAUUGGUCAAUGGGCGCAAGCCUGAACGAGCAAUGCCGCGUGAACGAGGAAGGUCUUCGGAUCGUAAAGUUCUGUUGAAGGGGAAAAAGAGCGGAGAGAGGAAAUGGUCUCCGAUUGAUAUUACCCUUCGAGGAAGUCACGGCUAACUACGUGCCAGCAGCCGCGGUAAUACGUAGGUGGCGAGCGUUAUCCGGAAUGAUUGGGCGUAAAGGGUGCGUAGGCGGCCUGCUAAGUCUGGAGUGAAAGGUACCGGCUCAACCGGUACAGGCUCUGGAAACUGGCGGGCUAGAGAGCAGGAGAGGGCGGUGGAACUCCAUGUGUAGCGGUAAAAUGCGUAGAUAUAUGGAAGAACACCAGUGGCGAAGGCGGCCGCCUGGCCUGUUACUGACGCUGAGGCACGAAAGCGUGGGGAGCAAAUAGGAUUAGAUACCCGUGUAGUC
rnacentral:rRNA from 1 species